rnacentral:rRNA from 1 species
GCUUACGGCCAUAUCAUUUUGAAUGCACUGGUUCUCGUCCGAUCAUGGAAGUUAAGCAAUGUUGAGUCUAGUGAGUACUUAGAUGGGUGACUGCUUGGGAAAUCUAGGUGCUGUAAGCA